UACGUAGGGUCCGAGCGUUGUCCGGAAUUACUGGGCGUAAAGAGCUCGUAGGUGGUUUGUCACGUUGUUCGUGAAAACCCACAGCUCAACUGUGGGCGUGCGAGCGAUACGGGCAGACUAGAGUACUGCAGGGGAGACUGGAAUUCCUGGUGUAGCGGUGAAAUGCGCAGAUAUCAGGAGGAACACCGGUGGCGAAGGCGGGUCUCUGGGCCGAUACUGACGCUGAGGAGCGAAAGCGUGGGGAGCGAACAGG
rnacentral:rRNA from 1 species